CCUUUGACAGAGUUAACUGGUCAUUCCUCAUCCACACCCUACACAGUUUCGGCUUUGGGGAAUCAUUUAUUAACUGGAUUAAAACACUUUACACCUCACCUACAGCCACAGUUAUUACUAACGGACAAACCUCACAAAGCUUCACUCUUCACAGGGGGACCAGGCAAGGUUGCCCACUCUCUCCCUCUUUUUUCACCAUUUUCAUUGAACCCCUAGCAGCAGCCAUCCGUCAGAACCCCCUCAUUACAGGAAUCCAAACCCCCAACAUGCACCAUAAAAUCAGCCUCUAUGCAGAUGACAUUUUACUUUUUAUGGAUAACCCAAAAUCAUCACUACAAAGAAGUAAUCAGUGUCAUCAAAUCCUUCUCCCUUCUCUCUGACUACUCAAUAAACUGGAACAAAUCCUCCAUACUCCCAUUAAACACCAACAGUCUGGCUGUGGCAGCCCUUACAACACCCAUCCCCUUCUGCACAAGUCACAUCACCUACUUAGGCAUCCACAUUUCCCCCAGGCUGUCAGAGUUGAUCAACCUGAAUUUCACUCCACUCCUAAAAAAAAUCAAUGAUGAUCUCCAACGAUGGAUGAACCUCCCAUUAUCUAUAUUAGGCAGAAUAGCAACAGUUAAAAUGACAAUCCUCCCCAAAAUCAGUUACCUUUGUUCAAUGAUUCCCACUCAUCCACCUCUCACCUGGUUUCAUUCCCUCGAUUCAUCCAUCAACAAAUUUUACUGGAAAAAUAAACCCCCACGAGUCAAACUGGCCACUCUUCAGAAAUCAAAAAGUUUAGGCGGACUCAAUGCUCCAAAUUUUCAUCAUUACUCACUAGCAAAUCAACUUCAAUACAUCUACAAAUGGACCCACCCCACCCAGUCAGAUAGCACGUGGUUAGACAUAGAACAAACAGUUAGCAAAGACAUCCAUCUCUCAGACCUACCAUUCCUCAGUCAAACUAUCAAAAAACACCCCUGUUUCCAAAACCCCACAAUAUCAUCGGCCCUGACAGCCUGGUGGAAAUUCUACAGCAUUACUAACUCCACUCUGGCACCAUCGCUUUU